UUGGAGGGCAAGUCUGGUGCCAGCAGCCGCGGUAAUUCCAGCUCCAAUAGCGUAUAUUAAAGUUGUUGCAGUUAAAAAGCUCGUAGUCGAAUUUCGGGAUCAGAUUGUCGGUCGUGCCUCGGUACGCACUGGCAUUAUUGGUUCCUACCUUCUGAAGAACCGCGAUGUCAUUAAUUUGGUGUCGUGGGGAAUCAGGACUGUUACUUUGAAAAAAUUAGAGUGUUUAAAGCAAGCGCACGCUUGAAUACAUUAGCAUGGAAUAAUGAAAUAGGACGUUUGAUUCUAUUUUGUUGGUUUCUAGGAUCGACGUAAUGAUUAAUAGGGAUAGUUGGGGGCAUUAGUAUUCAAUUGUCAGAGGUGAAAUUCUUGGAUUUAUUGAAGACUAACUACUGCGAAAGCAUUUGCCAAGGAUGUUUUCAUUAAUCAAGAACGAAAGUUAGGGGAUCGAAGACGAUCAGAUACCGUCGUAGUCUUAACCAUAAACUAUGCCGACUAGGGAUCGGAUGAUGUUGAUUUUAUAAUGACUCAUUCGGCGCCUUACGGGAAAC
rnacentral:rRNA from 1 species